UUGACGGGGGCCCGCACAAGCGGUGGAGCAUGUGGUUUAAUUCGAUGCAACGCGAAGAACCUUACCUGGUCUUGACAUAUCUAGAAUCCUGCAGAGAUGCGGGAGUGCCUUCGGGAAUUAGAAUACAGGUGCUGCAUGGCUGUCGUCAGCUCGUGUCGUGAGAUGUUGGGUUAAGUCCCGCAACGAGCGCAACCCUUGUCCUUAGUUACCAGCGGGUUAAGCCGGGAACUCUAGGGAUACUGCCAGUGACAAACUGGAGGAAGGCGGGGACGACGUCAAGUCAUCAUGGCCCUUACGACCAGGGCUACACACGUGCUACAAUGGUAGGUACAGAGGGCAGCUACACAGCGAUGUGAUGCGAAUCUCAAAAAGCCUAUCGUAGUCCAGAUUGGAGUCUGCAACUCGACUCCAUGAAGUAGGAAUCGCUAGUAAUCGCGGAUCAGAAUGCCGCGGUGAAUACGUUCCCGGGCCUUGUACACACCGCCCGUCACACCAUGGGAGUUGAUUGCACCAGAAGUGGAUAGCUUAACCGUAAGGGGAGCGUUCACCGCGGUGUGGUUGAUGACC
rnacentral:rRNA from 1 species